rnacentral:rRNA from 1 species
AGAGUUUGAUCCUGGCUCAGGAUGAACGCUAGCGGCAGGCCUAACACAUGCAAGUCGAGGGGGAGGUUACUUUCGGGUGACUGAGACCGGCGUACGGGUGCGUAACGCGUAUACAAUCUGCCUUUCACUGGGGGAUAGCCCGAAGAAAUUUGGAUUAAUACCCCAUAGUAUAUAGGGACGGCAUCGUUUUUAUAUUAAAGCUACGGUGGUGAAAGAUGAGUAUGCGUUCUAUUAGCUAGUUGGAGAGGUAACGGCUCCCCAAGGCGAUGAUAGAUAGGGGUUCUGAGAGGGAUGUCCCCCACACUGGUACUGAGAUACGGACCAGACUCCUACGGGAGGCAGCAGUGAGGAAUAUUGGACAAUGGUCGGAAGACUGAUCCAGCCAUGCCGCGUGCAGGAUGAAGGUCUUAUGGAUUGUAAACUGCUUUUGUAAGGGAAGAAUAAGGAGUACGAGUACUUUGAUGACGGUACCUUAUGAAUAAGCAUCGGCUAACUCCGUGCCAGCAGCCGCGGUAAUACGGAGGAUGCGAGCGUUAUCCGGAAUCAUUGGGUUUAAAGGGUCUGUAGGCGGGCUUGUAAGUCAGAGGUGAAAGCGCUCAGCUCAACUGAGCAACUGCCUUUGAAACUGUUGGUCUUGAAUGGUUGUGAAGUAGUUGGAAUGUGUAGUGUAGCGGUGAAAUGCUUAGAUAUUACACAGAACACCGAUAGCGAAGGCAUAUUACUAACAAUUAAUUGACGCUGAUGGACGAAAGCGUGGGGAGCGAACAGGAUUAGAUACCCUGGUAGUCCACGCU